rnacentral:tRNA from 1 species
GGCACUGUGGCUCAAAGGACUAGGGUGCCAGCCCCAUAUGCUGGAGGUGGCAGGUUCAAACCCAGCCCUGGCCA